UACAGAGGGUGCGAGCGUUAAUCGGAUUUACUGGGCGUAAAGGGCGCGUAGGCGGUGAGAUGAGUGUGGUGUGAAAGCCCCGGGCUUAACCUGGGAAGUGCACCGCAAACGAUCUGACUGGAGUAUAUGAGAGGGUGGCGGAAUUUCUGGUGUAGCGGUGAAAGUGCGUAGAGAUCAGAAGGAACGUCGAUGGCGAAGGCAGCCACCUGGCAUAAUGACUGGACG
rnacentral:rRNA from 1 species